rnacentral:rRNA from 1 species
AUGAGGUUCCCCACUUUAGUGUUUGCGUGGGCUGCGGCGGUGCUGCUCGCCGUGGCCGCCUUCUCGGCGAGUACAGACGCGUCGCCUCCGCCGUCGAAGUUUCUGAAGGUUGGGUUCUACGAGCACACGUGCCCACAGGCCGAGUACAUCGUGCGCGACGCCGUCCGCCGCGCCUUCGCCCGCAACCCAAGCCUUGCCGGUGGCAUCAUCCGUAUGCAUUUUCACGAUUGUUUUGUCAGGGGUUGUGAUGGCUCGCUGCUGAUCAACUCGACGCCCGGGAACUCGGCGGAGAAGGAUUCGCAGGUGAACAACCCAAGCAUGCGUGGUUUUAAGGUCAUCGACGAGACCAAGGCAGCCCUAGAGGCGAGCGGCCCACGCACCGUCUCCUGCGCCGACGUGCUCGCCUUCGCCGCGCGCGACGGGGCCUACCUUGCCGGCGGCAUCAACUACCGUGUGCCGUCUAGUCGCCGUGACGGCCGCGUGUCUAUCGCCGACGAGGUGCUCAACAACAACGUGUCAUUCCCGACCGACGAGGUCGCGGAGCUCGUGGCCAGCUUCAAGCGCAAGGGGCUCUCCGCAGACGACAUCGUCACGCUCUCGGGCGCACACACACCAUCGGUAGAUCCCACUGCUCCUCCUUCACUCAAUGCAUCCACAACUUCUCGGGCGAAGUCGGCCGGACCGACCCGUCCAUCGACAGGUUCUACGCGGCAGAGCUGA